UUCUCUCCACUAAUUUAAUACUCUCUUCAUAUCUAACAGCCUCCUCCUUCAAGAAUUUUCCAGAAAAUAAACUCCUCCGUACACACAAAAAUUCAUCUUCCACUAACACCCGUUUAAACACUUUUUCAUUUUUCUGUUCACCCACAAAUACAAUCAAAAACAAUAAUAAACACCACUAUAGAACCGAUUUACUCCAAAGGUUCGACUUAAUGAUAAUUCCUUAUUUUUCUUAAAUGAAAUUGAAUUCGACGGGGUCCGCCACAAAUGUACUUGAUAUGUUCCCCACGAAAUUUUUACUUGAAAAAGUCAAUGAAUGUGAAAAGAGUAGUGUGUCGUGAGUUUCAUGAGGUAUUCAUCAUUACCGAUGGAAUGGUGAAGACAUGAAGAUACAUCACAUGACCAUCUAGAAAAAGUACAAAUAUUAUGUAUCGCACUGAUUUUUGUGUAUAGAUACAUAAAAAUGAUGUAUAUGAUUGAAAAUAUGACAAAAUUAUGUAUUAAAAUGCUUUUAUGUUAUUGAUAUAUAAGACUUAUAUAU
rnacentral:lncRNA from 1 species